rnacentral:rRNA from 1 species
GACGAACGCUGGCGGCGUGCUUAACACAUGCAAGUCGAACGGAAAGGCCCUGCGUUUGUGGGGUGCUGGAGUGGCGAACGGGUGAGUAACACGUGAGUAACCUGCCCUUGACUUUGGGAUAACUUCAGGAAACUGGGGCUACUACCGGAUAGGAGCUGCUGUUGCAUUGUGGGGGUUGGAAAGUUUCGGCGGUCGGGGAUGGAUUCGCGGCUUAUCAGCUUGUUGGUGGGGUAGUGGCUUACCCAGGCUGUGACGGGUAGCCGGCCUGAGAGGGUGACCGGCCACCAUGGGACUGAGAGACGGCCCAGACGCCUACGGGAGGCAGCAGUGGGGAAUAUUGCACAAUGGGCGGAAGCCUGAUGCAGCAACGCCGCGUGCGGGAUGACGGCCUUCGGGUUGUAAACCGCUUUCGCCUGUGACGAAGCGGGAGUGACGGUAAUGGGUAAAGAAGCACCGGCUAACUACGUG